UCAAGUGAAGAAGCGCAUACGGUGGAUGCCUUGGCAGUCAGAGGCGAUGAAAGACGUGGUAGCCUGCGAAAAGCUUCGGGGAGUCGGCAAACAGACUGUGAUCCGGAGAUGUCUGAAUGGGGGAACCCAGCCAUCAUAAGAUGGUUAUCUUACACUGAAUACAUAGGUGUAAGAGGCGAACCAGGGGAACUGAAACAUCUAAGUACCCUGAGGAAAAGAAAUCAACCGAGAUUCCCUUAGUAGUGGCGAGCGAACGGGGACCAGCCCUUAAGUUGUAUUGAGAUUAGCGGAACGCUCUGGAAAGUGCGGCCAUAGUGGGUGAUAGCCCUGUACGCGAAAAUCCCUUUGCAAUGAAAUCGAGUAGGACGGGGCACGAGAAACCUUGUCUGAAUAUGGGGGGACCAUCCUCCAAGGCUAAAUACUACUGACUGACCGAUAGUGAACCAGUACCGUGAGGGAAAGGCGAAAAGAACCGCGGAGAGCGGAGUGAAAUAGAUCCUGAAACCGUAUGCGUACAAGCAGUGGGAGCCCACGUUGUUGGGUGACUGCGUACCUUUUGUAUAAUGGGUCAGCGACUUAUUUUCAGUGGCGAGCUUAACCGAAUAGGGGAGGCGUAGCGAAAGCGAGUCUUAAUAGGGCGUCUAGUCGCUGGGAAUAGACCCGAAACCGGGCGAUCUAUCCAUGGGCAGGUUGAAGGUUGGGUAACACUAACUGGAGGACCGAACCGACUACCGUUGAAAAGUUAGCGGAUGACCUGUGGAUCGGAGUGAAAGGCUAAUCAAGCUCGGAGAUAGCUGGUUCUCCUCGAAAGCUAUUUAGGUAGCGCCUCAUGUAUCACUGUAGGGGGUAGAGCACUGUUUCGGCUAGGGGGUCAUCCCGACUUACCAAACCGAUGCAAACUCCGAAUACCUACAAGUGCCGAGCAUGGGAGACACACGGCGGGUGCUAACGUCCGUCGUGAAAAGGGAAACAACCCAGACCGUCAGCUAAGGUCCCAAAGUCAUGGUUAAGUGGGAAACGAUGUGGGAAGGCUUAGACAGCUAGGAGGUUGGCUUAGAAGCAGCCACCCUUUAAAGAAAGCGUAAUAGCUCACUAGUCGAGUCGGCCUGCGCGGAAGAUGUAACGGGGCUCAAACCAUGCACCGAAGCUACGGGUAUCAUCUUAUGAUGAUGCGGUAGAGGAGCGUUCUGUAAGCCUGUGAAGGUGAGUUGAGAAGCUUGCUGGAGGUAUCAGAAGUGCGAAUGCUGACAUGAGUAACGACAAUGGGUGUGAAAAACACCCACGCCGAAAGACCAAGGUUUCCUGCGCAACGUUAAUCGACGCAGGGUUAGUCGGUCCCUAAGGCGAGGCUGAAAAGCGUAGUCGAUGGAAAACAGGUUAAUAUUCCUGUACUUCUGGUUAUUGCGAUGGAGGGACGGAGAAGGCUAGGCCAGCCUGGCGUUGGUAGUCCAGGUUUAAGGUGGUAGGCUGAGAUCUUAGGUAAAUCCGGGAUCUUAAGGCCGAGAGCUGAUGACGAGUGUUCUUUUAGAACAUGAAGUGGUUGAUGCCAUGCUUCCAAGAAAAGCUUCUAAGCUUCAGGUAACCAGGAACCGUACCCCAAACCGACACAGGUGGUUGGGUAGAGAAUACCAAGGCGCUUGAGAGAACUCGGGUGAAGGAACUAGGCAAAAUGGCACCGUAACUUCGGGAGAAGGUGCGCCGGUGAGGGUGAAGCAUUUACUGCGUAAGCCCACGCCGGUCGAAGAUACCAGGCCGCUGCGACUGUUUAUUAAAAACACAGCACUCUGCAAACACGAAAGUGGACGUAUAGGGUGUGACGCCUGCCCGGUGCCGGAAGGUUAAUUGAUGGGGUUAGCGCAAGCGAAGCUCUUGAUCGAAGCCCCGGUAAACGGCGGCCGUAACUAUAACGGUCCUAAGGUAGCGAAAUUCCUUGUCGGGUAAGUUCCGACCUGCACGAAUGGCGUAACGAUGGCGGCGCUGUCUCCACCCGAGACUCAGUGAAAUUGAAAUCGCUGUGAAGAUGCAGUGUAUCCGCGGCUAGACGGAAAGACCCCGUGAACCUUUACUAUAGCUUUGCACUGGACUUUGAAUUUGCUUGUGUAGGAUAGGUGGGAGGCUUUGAAGCGUGGACGCCAGUCUGCGUGGAGCCAACCUUGAAAUACCACCCUGGCAACUUUGAGGUUCUAACUCAGGUCCGUUAUCCGGAUCGAGGACAGUGUAUGGUGGGUAGUUUGACUGGGGCGGUCUCCUCCUAAAGAGUAACGGAGGAGUACGAAGGUGCGCUCAGACCGGUCGGAAAUCGGUCGUAGAGUAUAAAGGCAAAAGCGCGCUUGACUGCGAGACAGACACGUCGAGCAGGUACGAAAGUAGGUCUUAGUGAUCCGGUGGUUCUGUAUGGAAGGGCCAUCGCUCAACGGAUAAAAGGUACUCCGGGGAUAACAGGCUGAUACCGCCCAAGAGUUCAUAUCGACGGCGGUGUUUGGCACCUCGAUGUCGGCUCAUCACAUCCUGGGGCUGAAGCCGGUCCCAAGGGUAUGGCUGUUCGCCAUUUAAAGUGGUACGCGAGCUGGGUUUAGAACGUCGUGAGACAGUUCGGUCCCUAUCUGCCGUGGACGUUUGAGAUUUGAGAGGGGCUGCUCCUAGUACGAGAGGACCGGAGUGGACGAACCUCUGGUGUUCCGGUUGUCACGCCAGUGGCAUUGCCGGGUAGCUAUGUUCGGAAAAGAUAACCGCUGAAAGCAUCUAAGCGGGAAACUUGCCUCAAGAUGAGAUCUCACUGGAACCUUGAGUUCCCUGAAGGGCCGUCGAAGACUACGACGUUGAUAGGUUGGGUGUGUAAGCGCUGUGAGGCGUUGAGCUAACCAAUACUAAUUGCCCGUGAGGCUUGACCAU
rnacentral:rRNA from 1 species